rnacentral:rRNA from 1 species
UAGUCCACGCCGUAAACGAUGAGAACUAGCCGUCGGGGCCCUUGAGGCUUUGGUGGCGCAGCUAACGCGAUAAGUUCUCCGCCUGGGGAGUACGGCCGCAAGGCUAAAACUCAAAUGAAUUGACGGGGGCCCGCACAAGCGGUGGAGCAUGUUGUUUAAUUCGAUGCAACGCGAAGAACCUUACCACCCCUUGACAUCCUCAGAACUUGUUAGAAAUAACUUGGUGCCUUCGGGAGCUGAGUGACAGGUGCUGCAUGGCUGUCGUCAGCUCGUGUCGUGAGAUGUUGGGUUAAGUCCCGUAACGAGCGCAACCCGCGUAUUUAGUUGCCAUCAUUCAGUUGGGCACUCUAGAUAGACUACCGGGGACAACUCGGAGGAAGGUGUGGAUGACGUCAAGUCAGCAUGCCCCUUACAUCCUGGGCUACACGCGUACUACAAUGCUAUGGACAAAGAGCUGCAAGCCAGCGAUGGCAAGCUAAUCUCAUAAACCAUGG